AAACAAAAAAGGGGAAGGGGGAAAGGGGAAGGGGGAAGGGGAGGAGUGUGUUAAGCAAGCAGGUUUAUAGAAGCGAGAAAUGCCGGUUACUUUAUGUACAAUCACUUAUUCUAUUAUAUACCAGACUACAUUUAGGAAGUUUCACAACUUACUCUAUUACAUAGCGGGUUACAUUCAGGAAAGGUUUUACAAUGCUCGUAGCAAACA